AAUAAUAAAGAGAUUCCUCGGUCAUAACAUCCUGUGUACAUUCGCAAGACCCGGGACACGGAUUAUUUCCUCUGCUAAUCGAAUGUGUCGAUUAUCAUAAAUUCCGCUGAGAAAGAAACGGAGAAUAAACCCGGACGAUGCCCAGCGAACGGAAGCACGGGGGUCAUGGGGGUCACGGGGGUCAUGGUCGCCAUGACCACGGCGGAGGUCAUGGUUCAACGAAAACAAGUAAACGUCCAUCUUCCUCUGCUAAAAAACGAACGGCGCCUGCAGAAGAUAAAGAGGAAGAAGUGAUAGCAUCCGUGCAGUCAGUAAACGAGAUUAACGGUAAUUCUCGCGAGAGCGGGGGAAAUGACAUCACGGAUGAGGAGGAAGUGACAAAUGGACUCAAAGCGGAAGAAGGUACAUCAGAAGCAGAGGACACUGCAAAAAGAGACGAGGACGAUGCAAAACCGGAAGUGACGAUAACAGAACCGGAAGACAGUGCAAAUGAAGACAGGGAACUCUGGGCGGAGAAAUCGAGAGAAGAUGACGGAUUUAACAUUCGCUCGUUUAACGACAACAUUCUGGAGUUUACGGAAAUCUUUGAUUCUGAUCGCUAUAAGAAUGUGGACGAGGAUUACCCGGUGGAGGAUCUAAUAGGCGUGGUGGCGCAGAUCUCAAACACCAUCGAGGAAUUCAAACAGCAGACGCAGAACAGCCAGCAGCAGCUCGAGGGGCUAAGAAUGAAGAUGAAGCAAGUCAAGGAAAACAUCCAAUUCAGUGUAUCCCGAAAGGCUUUCGAUAUCGGAACAGAUGAUGACCUGCAAAGCGUCGAAGAACGAGAGUUGACCGAAAAACUAGCUAAACUUAAUGCAGAAAUUGCGAAAGCAAACUCUGAUCUGUCCGAGGCACUGAGAUUAUCCGCUGAAACCGAAAGCACAGCCGUCCGGGCUCAAAUAGCAGCGGAAAGGGCAAAGGAAGAGGCGAAACGAAUAGAGGAAGAAGUAGAGUUGCGCGCGCAACAGGAAGAGAGGAGAAAACGCGAAGAGGUUAAAAAGAUGGAGGAGUUGCGAAAGCAACAGGAAGAGGAAGCUCGUAAACAAGAAGAAGAGAAAAGAGCGAAAGAAGCCGAAUGGAAGCGGCGGGAAACAACUGGGACGGAGAAAGCCGCAGUUUGGGAAAACUGGCCGGCACAUGAAAUGCAACUAUCGGGUAGCAGCGAUCUUGCUUGCAUUAUUCGCGGAAAACCUAACAGCUUUGAUGAGUCAUCAGUCACGUGCAAAGAAAUUGACCAAUUAGAUAUCGACCUGACAUACGGGCCUCAAGAAGAACUGAUGGGCAGCAUCAUUCAACUGGCUCCUACGUCAGAGAACAUUAAGUUACAGAGUCCCAUUUACGUAGCUAUUCCUUUCACAAUUUCCCGAGCGAGCGGUCAUUCCCGAGAGGCCUUUGUGAAGGCGGACAUUAAAGGAGAGUGGCGAGAGAUUCCGAGCACGGAAGUGACGUAUGACAACCAUAAGGAUUUGAAAUUCGUCCAAGUGGAAAUUAAAGAUUUUCUGACACUAGCAGUGAUGACACGACUGAAGAGAGAUUACGUCACGUUUUCCAAGCGACCGUCCAAACUGACGUCAUCGUGUGACCACCGAAUCACAGUAACGGUUGCUAGGGACACAUUCUACAGAAAAGAACACAUCUUACUUCAGGUACAGCCGGUGGACUCGGCAACAGUACACGAUCUCCAGUCCAAAAACGGGAACUGUAAACACCUGCUGGCCUCCAGUCCCAUCCUACAGACGCAGUGGGAGUCCCACGAGUUCCACAAACCCAUAGUGAUAACGUUACCCUGUCCCCCGAACCCCGCAAAGGCGCGAAAAAUCGCCCAGAUGAGGAAACUGAAAGAGGAGAAGAUGAAGAAUCCGCAGAAGAUCAACCCCCUCCCACUGGACGUUAGAGAGAAGGAGGAAAACCAGGGAAAGCAGAACAAGGCCAAACCUAAGAAGAAGACGCUCCAAGAACAGCUGGCGGAAAUCAAUGCGCCACCGGAAGAAGAGAAACCGAAACCGACCAAGUGGUACAUGGGGGACUAUGCCCACAACGACGAUGACGAAAACGAUAAUCUGUAUCUGGUGGCGCGGACCGGAACAGGAAAAUGGUUUAUCGUGCCGGAAGUGGACAUCGCGCAAGUCAAGUUGGAUCUGCUGCAGUUUACUAUCGAAAAACCUUUAGAGCAGUUCAUGGUCCUACGUGUUCGAACCAACACAGAAGAGGAACUGCUUCCGUUCAUGUCGUCCGCCAUCUUUGAAUUGCUACAAAAACGAUAUGUUCAAGUUGUAAUCAAACAGAGAUCUGAUAAUCCGUUUGACACACGGCUCGAAGUAGCUCCCGUCAGCCGAAUCAACAAAGUAAUCAAGCAUUUGAACGAAGACGGAUUUGAAGACGGACCGGAUCCGAGUCAGAUAGUAGGCGUUUGCGAAGGGGACAUCAUCGAAAUCAACUUCCGGGGCAAUAUUCAAAAUAACUCUAGCGUGAAAUGUCCGAAAUUUGUGUACAAUUCUAAUCUUCCGUCGUCCACCGAGUUUUUCCUGUCGGAGGUGGACCAGUACCUACAGCGGAAUUUCCACGUGUUCCGGGGAGUAGUGGAAGUUUACAGGGUCCAGGACGUGGUUCCGGACAAAAAGACGGUGGCCCGGAAAGAGUCCGUGCUCGAUGAGAACUCUUUUUGUGUGCGGAAGGAGAAAAAGAAGAUUCUGAUAUGUGAAAUUCCUAUCACUAUACCCAAGUAUCACGUGGAACCUGCACCUUUGCCUGUCCAAGCACCGGUUGUCAUUCGGAACGAUUCGGACCCCGUUAACGACGACUUAAUGCGCCACCUAGCGGCAGACAUGGGCGACGAAUGGCGGAAAGUGGCGAUGACUUUAAAUAUCAGCAGGGCGCGGAUCCAGGCAAUUCUCAGAAACACGCAGAUAGGCGAAUCAACGGAAGAAGACGCGCGCUAUCAGAUGUUGAUCACAUGGUUGAAGAAAAUGCCGAAAUCCAUUGAUAAGGUUACAGUUUUGACCAAUGCAUUUAUGAAGAAUGGCCGACCUGAUUUGGCAGAGCAAGUCCGCAUCAAAGACGAGGCUUUUAAACGGAAUUGAAGACAAUCGCAAUAAAAUUCGGAUAGGAGUCGGUGAAAGUAACUUCAUUAAAAAGUAAUCCCAAUAUUUGCACCAAACGGAGGUUUAUGCAUGCUGUGAUAAUUUUCAUAUUGUAUCUUCAUUGUAUGUAUUUUAUAUUAUUACACAAUAUAUUAAGCUCGAAAUAAGUGAUCCUCCUUAAUUUAGAUUCUACACACAUUUAUUGAUGCAAGAAGGAUUCAUAUGUAGAAAAAAUAGCACAAUGUUUAUAUAGAAACAACCUACAUAUACAUGUAUAGAACAAUGCAUGUGAGAAAAUGUGCUUAAUAAUACACUUUACCAUGUAUAUUAUUUAACACAUCUUCUGAUUUUUAAUGUGAUAUUUCAUAUUUUACAUGUUUUUUUUUACAAAACAUUUGUACUAUUUACUAUUGGCUUCCUGCAAUAAGUUCUUGUUGC
rnacentral:sRNA from 1 species